rnacentral:rRNA from 1 species
AAUGGGCGAAAGCCUGACGGAGCGACACCGCGUGCAGGAUGAAGGGCUUCGGCUUGUAAACUGCUGUCACGCAAUAGGAACCGUCUGUCGUAAUACGGCAGGCCUGACUAAAGCGAGAGGAAGUACCGGCUAACUCCGUGCCAGCAGCCGCGGUAAGACGGAGGGUACAAACGUUGUUCGGAAUCACUGGGCAUAAAGCGCACGUAGGCGGCUUGGUCAGUCAGAUGUGAAAGCCCCCGGCUCAACCGGGGAACGGCAUUUGAUACUGCCAGGCUUGAGAGAGGUAGGGGUAAGCGGAACUCCAGGUGGAGCGGUGAAAUGCGUAGAUAUCUGGAGGAACACCUGUGGCGAAAGCGGCUUACUGGACCUCUUCUGACGCUGAGGUGCGAAAGCUAGGGUAGCGAACGGGAUU